UUGGCUGGGGCGGCACGGCUGUCAAAUGAUAACGCAGGUGUCCUGAGGUGAGCUCAAUGAGAACGGAAAUCUCAUGUAGAACAAAAUGAUACAAGCUCACUUGAUUUUGAUUUUCAGUAUGAAUAGAAAUUGUGAAAGCAUGGCCUAUCGAUCCCUUAGUCCUUAUGAGUUUUAACCUAGGG